ACAUAAGAACCCCUUUUUUGAACUUAAAAUUUACAGACAGACCCCUCACUUGUAUGAAUAUACACUACGAGUACAAUUUUCAGAUUCGGAUCCCAAAAAUAAUCCGCCGGCCAUAGCCGGCGCCGGAUCGCGAGGGGGGAGAUUCUACCCGGCGGUUGUCCGCCGCGCGGCGAGGCGAUCGACGGCGUGCCGGUGCCGGUGCCGGAGGCCUCACUUCAUCUCUCCGCCUCCUCGCUUCACUUGGGGAUCGCCGUGGACCAUGCUGCGGGAUCGAUUUCGAGGCCCAUGAGAGACAGCGAGCCUCCCUCCGUGCUUGGGCCCUUCACUUGGGCAGCAAGGCCUUCUCAUCUGGAGAAAAGCCUGAGCUGAAGCAGUUCUCAUAAUAGGGCGCUGUUCACGAAUAAUCAUGUGGUCGUGCGUACAGUAUUGGCUACAGUUUUACAGCUCAGUCUGUCGACAAUGUCAGGCUCUGAUCCUGAAGCUUGAAACAUCCAUUUGUUUGCUGGUCAAAAGCUGAAACACGCAAUUAAGAUCAACUGCAGCGAAUACUAUUAACAAAGGGCCUCUUACUCGUCUAAUCAUGGGCGUCACGUCCUCCCCCGAUGCAUCCGUCCGCUUCAUUAUUUUACAGGGGACGUGACAGCAUGGCGGUGCCUGUGUUCGCUCUGCGGCGUCGCUCACCGUCAGAUGUGCAUGCAUCCACGUCAGGUGACAUGUAGAACACAGUAGCCCCCGGUGAUGCAGAGAAAAGGGUUUAGAGUAAACCUUUCUUCCAUGAAGAGUUAGAAAUGGAUGAAAUUUACGUAGAUGCAUGACUUAAAAGAGCGGAGGUGGUGUCAGCACAUCGUAAGGAUUAGUCAGAAUAUAACCUUACCUCCAGAAAUAUAAGUAUAAGCAUGGUGGAGUGGAGCAGAUGCAGGCAUUUCUGUUGGCCUUUCCCACUGUUUCUGAACCAUUAAUGAGAAUUAGGCUUUUUCGGCAGGACAUGAAAGGAACAAUUUUCAGCAUGUCGACUAUCUCCACUACUGCAAGCUACCUCUGAAAUUCUCCAUGCAUGUCACCCUGCAUCUAGUGCUCCAAUUUCAGCUGCCGUUUUUUCGGUGAGAAUGACAUCUCCAAGAGGAGAGAAAAGAGAGAUGAGAAAAGGUUGCUUUUCUCUGUCAUGCUCUGAUUCCAUUGAGAAGAAAAAUGUGCUCAGCACUACACCUAGAAUCUUGAUAGCAUUGGACAACGGAGAGAUGAACAAUGACAGGUACCACUCUAAGGCUGAUACUGAAGUGCCAAACUGUUCAGGAUUGGUUACACAUCAGCCAGCAAGAAAAAAGGCUUUCCAUCUCAUCUCAGUGUUGAGUGGGCUACAGCCUACACAUCACACAAAUGCUCCAUCCACUAUGGCAAAGAUCGAAACAAGAUGCAAAAGAAAAGAGGCCUAACAUGCACACAACUGCCUACUGCUUGCUAGUGUUAGCAGCAGCAGCAGCUUGCAGUAGUGCAGAUUGAUUCUUCAAGUAGUGGAGGUUUGCAACUGCAGCAAGCACUUUUUGUUGCAAAAGAGACCGGUCUUUUUUUGUGUGUGAUCCAUGGAUGGACAGGGAAGGGCUCUACUCUGGCUUGAUUGGUGCAAGGGAUGGAGGAGAAGACCCCAGCUGAUGGACAGGGAGGUCACUGUGAUUCGCGCGUGCCAACUGCCAACCGGCCAAAAUGAUGAAUAAAAAUCAUACACAUCGUCGUCGUUGUUCGUACCUGGAUCUGUCAUAGAUCGAUCUGUGUCGAUGCUGUAUGGGAUUUUUUUUUACGUGAAACGGUUCAAUUUUGAUGUGAAUGGCUUAUAGUGUACUAGUACACUGGUUCAUGAUACUCUCGUAAGAAAUUUUUUGGGACAUGUUUAGAUUCAUUCUUAGAUAUUGUUAUAUGUAGGGUAAUAUUUUUAAGUAGCUAUAAAGUCUUAUAUCGUGGAACGAAGAGAUAAGUUCCUGUCAGGCUAUAAUAGUUGUGGCGGUGAUACAGUGAGACUGAUGCUCCGAUUGCUAAAAUAAUAGAAGAGACAU